rnacentral:rRNA from 1 species
AUACGGAGGGUGCAAGCGUUAAUCGGAAUUACUGGGCGUAAAGCGCACGCAGGCGGUUUGUUAAGUCAGAUGUGAAAUCCCCGGGCUCAACCUGGGAACUGCAUCUGAUACUGGCAAGCUUGAGUCUCGGAGAGGGGGGUAGAAUUCCAGGCGUAGCGGGGAAAUGCGGAGAGAUCUGGAGGAACACCGGUGGCGAAGGCGGCCCCCUGGACGAAGACUGACGCUAAGGUGCGAAAGCGUGGGGAGCAAACAGGAUUAGAUACCCUGGUAGUCCACGCCGUAAACGAUGUCGACUUGGAGGUUGUGCCCUUGAGGCGUGGCUUCCGGAGCUAACGCGUUAAGUCGACCGCCUGGGGAGUACGGCCGCAAGGUUAAAACUCAAAUGAAUUGGCGGGG